ACUCCAGAGAUGGUCCAAUCCGUGCAUGUCGCCGUAAUCGGAGCCGGCGCUGCUGGUCUCUGCGCCGCCCGCGAGCUUAUGCGUGAAGGCCACACGGUCGUCGUCUUCGAGAAAAGCGAUCAAAUCGGAGGUACAUGGAAAUACGAUCCGCUAACGGAGUCCGAUCCAAUUGGCACGGACCCAACACGGGAAGUCGUCCACAGUAGCCUCUACCUCUCGUUACGCACCAAUCUUCCCAGACAAUUGAUGGGUUUUCUGGACUAUCCGUUUCCCGAGAAUCGCGAGAACGGGGACCCGCGAACUUUUCCUGGUCACGAAGAGGUGCUCUGGUUUCUGAACAAGUUCGCUGAUGACUUUGGGAUUCGUGAGCUGAUUCGAUUCAACAGAGAAGUGCUUCGGAUCGAGCGAGUGGAUGGGAGGAAUGACAAGUGGGUCAUUCAAUCGAAGAGUCGUGGCGGCGGCGGCGGCGAUUCUUUGUUUCAGGACUUUUUUCAAGCAGUUGUUGUGUGCUCGGGUCACUUCACAGAACCAAGAAUAGCUCAAAUUCCAGGUAUUGAGAAGUGGCCAGGAUUUCAGAUUCACAGCCACAACUACAGGGUACCCGAACCAUUUCGCAAUCAGAGCGUGGUCGUAAUUGGAUUUGGACCCAGUGCCUUUGAUAUCUCAAGAGACGUUGCAAGAGUAGCUAAGGAGGUUCACAUAGCAACAAGAAAUCCAAAUGUGAAGUCUGCGAAGUUAGCAAAUCAUGAUAAUAUAUGGCAGCAUCCCAUGGUCAAAUGUGUAUCUGAAGAUGGCUUGGUUGUGUUUGAGGAUGGAUCAUCUGUGUCUGCUGAUGUCAUAUUCUAUUGUACUGGAUACAAGUACAACUAUCCAUUCCUUGAAACUAAUGGAAUAGUAACCAUUGAUGGCAAUCGUGUUGGACCAUUAUACAAGCAUGUCUUUCCUCCUGCUUUAGCUCCUUGGCUCUCUUUCAUUGGCAUACCUGAAAAGGUCACUGGUAGCUUUUUCCCACCUUUUUUCUUCCUUUUCUCCCCCCUCCCCCCCCCCCCCCAAAAAAAAAAGUAAUUUGUUCUUUUAAUGCCUUUCAUUUUUCAUGGAAGAUACGGGGAACAUUCUUAACAAAACAAUGGUGUAUCUGAUAAGAAAUAGCUUGUUUUUUUUGGAACUUCCUCUGCGUAUAAUUUAAUGCAUACGAAGAGAUAGGUCUAGCGAAUGAGAAUCUCAUAGAUCAUUUCAAGACAGGUCUUGUCAAAUCUAGGAUCCCUCUGAAAACUGUGCUAGCGAUGCUUACACGUGUGCUUAUAGUUGUUCGGUUCACCUGUAUUUUACUGACCUGAUCUACUUAUGCUUACAACCUGUUCAAGAAUGUAUUUCACAUUUCCUUUUAAUCAGUAAUUGAUGCUUACAACCUAUAUCAUAUUGUUCGGCCAAACUGAAGGCUAUCAUCUUCCAAAAAUUGGAAUUACAAUCCAAGUGGGUGGCACGAGUUUUAUCUGGUAAAGUCCUUAUACCUACGGAAAAG